rnacentral:rRNA from 1 species
GACGAACGCUGGCGGCGUGCCUAAUACAUGCAAGUCGAACGCUGAAGGAGGAGCUUGCUCUUCUGGAUGAGUUGCGAACGGGUGAGUAACGCGUAGGUAACCUGCCUGGUAGCGGGGGAUAACUAUUGGAAACGAUAGCUAAUACCGCAUAAGAGUAGAUGUUGCAUGACAUUUACUUAAAAGGUGCAAUUGCAUCACUACCAGAUGGACCUGCGUUGUAUUAGCUAGUUGGUGGGGUAACGGCUUACCAAGGCGACGAUACAUAGCCGACCUGAGAGGGUGAUCGGCCACACUGGGACUGAGACACGGCCCAGACUCCUACGGGAGGCAGCAGUAGGGAAUCUUCGGCAAUGGACGGAAGUCUGACCGAGCAACGCCGCGUGAGUGAAGAAGGUUUUCGGAUCGUAAAGCUCUGUUGUAAGAGAAGAACGAGUGUGAGAGUGGAAAGUUCACACUGUGACGGUAUCUUGCCAGAAAGGGACGGCUAACUACGUG